rnacentral:rRNA from 1 species
GAGUGGCGGACGGGUGAGUAAUGCGUAGGAAUCUACCCAAGAGAUGAGGAUAACGUGGGGAAACUCACGCUAAUACUGAAUACGCCCUACGGGGUAAAGGUUGCGCAAGCAGCCGCUUUUGGAUGAGCCUACGUUUGAUUAGCUAGUUGGUGGGGUAAAGGCCUACCAAGGCGACGAUCAAUAGCUGUUCUGAGAGGAAGAUCAGCCACACUGGGACUGAGACACGGCCCAGACUCC